rnacentral:rRNA from 1 species
AAUCCAUAGGUUAAUGAGGCGAACCGGGGGAACUGAAACAUCUAAGUACCCCGAGGAAAAGAAAUCAACCGAGAUUCCCCCAGUAGCGGCGAGCGAACGGGGAGGAGCCCAGAGCCUGAAUCAGCAUGUGUGUUAGUGGAAGCGUCUGGAAAGGCGCGCGAUACAGGGUGACAGCCCCGUACACAAAAGCGCAUGUGCUGUGAGCUCGAUGAGUAGGGCGGGACACGUGGUAUCCUGUCUGAAUAUGGGGGGACCAUCCUCCAAGGCUAAAUACUCCUGACUGACCGAUAGUGAACCAGUACCGUGAGGGAAAGGCGAAAAGAACCCCGGCGAGGGGAGUGAAAAAGAACCUGAAACCGUGUACGUACAAGCAGUGGGAGCCCCACCACCAAAGCAUUCUCUGGUGUUGAAGGCCCUGCAAAGCAGCAUCGCGGUGGCGGAGCGUCGUUUGCGACGCCCAACACACAAAACAAGCGGUGAGUGCUUUGGGGUGGGGUGACUGCGUACCUUUUGUAUAAUGGGUCAGCGACUUAUAUUCUGUAGCAAGGUUAACCGAAUAGGGGAGCCGGAGGGAAACCGAGUCUUAAUUGGGCGUUAAGUUGCAGGGUAUAGACCCGAAACCCGGUGAUCUAGCCAUGGGCAGGUUGAAGGUUGGGUAACACUAACUGGAGGACCGAACCGACUAAUGUUGAAAAAUUAGCGGAUGACCUGUGGCUGGGGGUGAAAGGCCAAUCAAACCGGGAGAUAGCUGGUUCUCCCCGAAAGCUAUUUAGGUAGCGCCUCGUGAAUUCAUCUCCGGGGGUAGAGCACUGUUUCGGCUAGGGGGCCAUCCCGGCUUACCAACCCGAUGCAAACUGCGAAUACCGGAGAAUGUUAUCACGGGAGACACACGGCGGGUGCUAACGUCCGUCGUGAAGAGGGAAACAACCCAGACCGCCAGCUAAGGUCCCAAAGUCAUGGUUAAGUGGGAAACGAUGUGGGAAGGCCCAGACAGCCAGGAUGUUGGCUUAGAAGCAGCCAUCAUUUAAAGAAAGCGUAAUAGCUCACUGGUCGAGUCGGCCUGCGCGGAAGAUGUAACGGGGCUAAACCAUGCACCGAAGCUGCGGCAGCGACACUCAGGUGUUGUUGGGUAGGGGAGCGUUCUGUAAGCCUGUGAAGGUGGCCUGUGAGGGUUGCUGGAGGUAUCAGAAGUGCGAAUGCUGACAUAAGUAACGAUA